ensembl:lncRNA
GGGAUUUGCAGUUACACACACACACACACACACACACACACACACACAAACACACACACGUCAUUGGUGACCUAGAAAGAAUACACAUGGUGAAAUUUUUAGGACUACAUACUGAAAAAACCCAAACUUAAUUUCCACUAAGAUGUUAAACCCUAUUUCUGUUUUUCCCUGAUACAGAAAAAGCUAUUUAUCUGACAUUUGUAUUAUUAUUCAGUGUUUGAAACAUCUGCAGUGCUGUAAAACUGCACUUAUAGCAAUAGUCCUAAGAUACUGAAAGAUUAUUUUAUAUCAUCCAAAAUGGUCAGGUUUUUAUGAGAAAAAAAUGAGAAAUUAAUAUAGAACUCUUUAAGACAUGGAAAGGUAUUAGCCCUUACAGAGUAAAUCAACCUUAUCAACCCUUUCCAUGCUAAAAAUAAUUAUUGUUUAAGAAUAUUAACGUGUGAUUCACAUGUAGCUUUGUGAAAACAGUUCUGCUGCCAAUUUUCAUGCAAUGGAAGCCGUUAAACAAUUAAUUAUUAAAAGUAUAUGGAGGUACCUCAGAAAACUAAAUAUAGAACUCCAUAUGAUCCAGCAAUCCCACUCCUGGGCAUAUAUCCAGACAAAACUUUCACUGAAAAAGAUACAUGCACUCCUAUGUCCACUGCAGCACUAUUCACAAUAGCGAAGACAUGAAAACAACCUAAAUGUCCAUCAACAAAUGAAUGGAUUAAAAAGAUGUGGUACAUAUACACAAUGGAAUACUGCUCAGCCAUUAAAAAAGAACAAAAUAAUGCCAUUUGCAGCAACAUGGAUGGAACUAGAAACUCUCAUACUAAGUGAAGUAGUCAGAAAGACAAGUACCAUAUGAUAUCACUUAUAUCCGAAAUCUAAUAUAUGUUACAAAUGAACCUAUCUAUAGAAAAGAAACAAACUCAUGGACUUGGAGAAUGGACUUGAGGUUGCCAAGGGGGAGGGAGUGGGAUGGACUAGGAGUUUGGGUUUAGUAGAUGCAAGCUAUUGCAUUUGGAGUGGAUAAGCAAUGAGGUCCUGCUGUGUAGCACAGGGAACUAUAUCCAGUCACUUAUGAUAGAACAUGAUGGAGGAUAAUGAGAGAAAAAGAAUGUGUACGUAUGUGGAGUUCCUGUCGUGGCUCAGCAGUUAACCAACGCGACUAGCAUCCAUGAGGAUGCAGGUUCCGUCCCCGACCUCGCUCAGUGUGUUAAGGAUCGGUGUUGCCAUGAGCUGUGGUGUAGGUCACAGACUCGACUCAGAUCCAGCAGUGCUGUGGCUUUGGCUUAGGCUGGUGGCUGCAGCUCUGAUUGGACCCCUAGCCUGGGAACCUCCAUAUGCUAUGAGCAUGACCCUAAAAAGACAAAAAAAAUAAAAAUAAAGAAUGUAUACAUAUGUAUAACUGGGUCACUUUGCUGUACAGCAGAAAUUGGCAGAACAUUGUAAAUCAACUAUAAUUUUUAAAAGUAUAGGUCUGACUUUUUAGCAGAUGUCAUCAUAGCAUUCCAAUUUCCUAUUAAAAGGAUUGUUGCAUCUAGAAGGCUGAAAAAAAAACGUGUCUUACCCCUCAUCUUUACUUCUUUUUUCCACUGUUUUGGGCUUGGUCACCUUUGUAGCAUAUUUCUCCAAAUUCUCUUUCUUUCCGUAACUAAAUUAGCAUGUUUAUAUUAGCUGUCAGAGUAGAAUAAGGCCCAAAGCCACAAGCAGUCUGGCCAGCUUGAGGGAGCCAUGGCAGGGUUGCAUUAGAGGGUUUUUAUUGUUGGCAGGAGCAACUGCUCACAAUCAUACUUUAAGAUUCUCUGCAACCAAAGUGUUUGUUUUGUGUUUGUAUGUGCUCUGGGCAGCCUCAUUAUUAUAGGGAGCAUUACUAAUCGAUUCACAUGGCCCAUUAACAUUUGACUACUAUCCAUAGAGCAAAGCUGCAUACUCCUAAGGACCAGACAAGAGGUUAACAAAGCUGUAGGGAAUUCUAGGAUAAAUAGAUCCUCCUUACUGAUUUAUUAGGUAUUUAUUACCCAUUAUGAAUAAAAGUCUCAUUCUGAUCAACAUUUACUCAGCAAUUUGGCUGAAUCAGUCUGACUUUUGCAUCAAGCAACUACUGCUGUAGCUGGCACCAGAUUAUUCCACCCCUGACUGUGUCUUUUGAAAAUAACCCUGGGAUAGUUCAGAGAACUACGUCUCAGUUAUCCCCAUGCUUCCUGGCUAUUCUCCCCAUAGGAGUCCUUCAUAAUAGUCAUACUAUUACCACUAAAUACGCUCAUUGCAAGUAUCAAAAUGUACUUUUACGUAUCAUAUUAUGCUUUACUAACACCCUUAAUCAGGUCAACAGAUUUCUUAAAAUGUUUAAUUGACCUCUAAUAACUCAUUCUUUUUUCAUCUGUUUCACUCUCUCCAAGCAAUUAUAAGAGAUAGCAAUUGCUAAAAUCCACAGUAAAAAAACAACCUCAAAAAGUCCCUCUGCUGUGUUAAUUUUCAAAGUUUGGAAGCAACUAAAGUGUCUUAGUAUUGCCACAUCUCUGAAUCUUUUAUCAAUUUUUUCAAGGAAAUAUUAUUUAAAAUGCUUAAAAUAUAACCGUGUAGCAAUCAUUGAAUCUCCUGUUAGCUUAUUGUUUAUAAUCAAUAUCAGAUUUUGAUUAGUAAUGUAUCUGAAUAAAUUUGGAGACAAGCUUUUUUUUUCUCAUAUAGGACAGAGUUCAGAGUUACUGUUUAGUUAUUAUUUUGGUUUAAAUACCCUUGUGCUUGUGUUUCAUUAUUAUGUAACAAAUUACCACAAAAUAGUACAUAUUCAUCAUUUCAGAGUUCUAGAAGUUGAAAGUAUGACCAUAGUUCAGCUGGGUUCUCACUUGAGAGGUCUUAAAAAGGGGCAAUCAAUGGGUAGGCUAUUGUUCUCAGUUGUAGUCUUGAGGAGGGAAGACGCUCCUUUCCUACUCAUUCAAAUUGUUAACAGAAUACAGCUUCUUGGUGGUUGUAGGACCAUUUUCUUUUUGGCUGCUAGCCAGGGAUUGCUCUCAUCUCCUACAGGCCACUGUCAUGCACAAGAGGCUUGAGCCUCUCCACAACAUGGCAGAUUACUUCUUCGUGGUCAAGGAAAGCAGCUCCUUGGUCUGCAGCUGCCACUCUCAAGUCUUUGAAAGAAGCUUACCUAAUUAGGUGAGACUAACCCAGAAAUAUCUUCCUUUGAAUUGAAUUAUCAUCACCUGUUUAUAAGCUUAACUGCAUCUAUGAAUCUUCACCUUUGCCUGCCAAGUUACGUAACCUAAUCAUUGGAGUGAUAUCCAUUACAUUCAUGGAUAUGCCCAUGUUUAAGUGGAAGCCAUUACACGGAAAGUGACUGUAGGUGGCAUUCUGCCUGAUACAACCCUAAUUAAUAAAAGAGAUCCUAGGAGUUCCCAUUGUGGCUCAGUGGGUUAAGAACCCAGCUAGUCUCUGUGAGGAUGUGGGUUUGAUCCCUGGCCUCACUCGGUGGGAUAAGGAUCCCCCAUUGCCGCAAGCUGCAUGUGGUGUAGGUCGCAGAUGUGGCUCAGAUCCUAGAUUGCUGUGGCUUUGGUUUAGGCCACCAGCUGCAGCUCCAAUUUAACUCCUAUCUGGGGAAAUACAUAUGCCGCAGGUGCUGGGAAAAAAAAAA